UCCCAUAUAGUGUAGUGGUUUAGCAUACCAGGUUUUCAAGCAAAAUUGAAAUCCCUGGCGACCCGGGUUCGAACCCCGGUGUGGGAA